CUCUAACCACCUGACUCACGAGGAGCCUGCCUGUUACGCGAAUGCAGUAAGAAGCCAAGGUUCUUAAGCCAGAGCUCCAGGGCGUAUUUGGUACCAGUGCUAACCCGCUCCACAUCCUCUCCACUAUUCGGGGCCCGGUUACACAAAACAGACAAUGGCAAAUCUGACUCACUGAGCACACCUUCCGGAGAGACCUCCGAUACACUGGAGAACCAACGCCACAGAAACAAAAUGUACAUUACUUUGUGGAUGUGAUGUACCUUAUGGUUGGAGCCACGCCCUCCAGCGGUGUCACAGAACCCUCCUCUCCGUCCACGGCGGAUACGAUGGCCUUGACCAGCGAGGCGUCCACCCACAGACAGCCACUGACCUCAGCGGGCUCGGGGCGCAGAGAGGCCUAGAAUAAAGAUGGUCUUUAGUGAGUCAGAGGCAUUCUCUUUGAUUUGGCUUUGUGUGCCUUUAAUGAUAACACCAGGCAGACAGAGACCAACAGGACAGUCAGGCAGACAGACAGACACCUGGAG